rnacentral:rRNA from 1 species
GACGAACGCUGGCGGCGUGCUUAACACAUGCAAGUCGAACGGAAAGGCCCUGCUUUUGUGGGGUGCUCGAGUGGCGAACGGGUGAGUAACACGUGAGUAACCUGCCAUUGACUUUGGGAUAACUUCAGGAAACUGGGGCUGAUACCGGAUAGGAGCUCCUGCUGCAUGGUGGGGGUGGGAAAGUUUCGGCGGUUGGGGAUGGAAUCGCGGCUUAUCAGCUUGUUGGUGGGGUAGUGGCUUACCAAGGCUUGGAGGGGUAGCAGGCCUGAGAGGGUGAACGGCCACAUUGGGACUGAGAUACGGCCCAGACUCGUCCGGGAGGCAGGAGUGGGGAAUAUUGCACAAUGGGCGGAAGCCUGAUGCAGCACCGCCGCGUGGGGGAUGACGGCCUUCGGGUUGUAAACCGCUUUCGCCUGUGACGAAGCGUGAGUGACGGUAAUGGGUAAAGAAGCACCGGCUAACUACGUG